AAAUUUAGCGAUAGUUAAGUUUAUAUAAGGAAGUGUAAACCUCCCCUUUAGUUUUAGCAAUAUUUCUAUAGGCUAGGUUGCUUUGUGUAUUACCAUUUUGGUAAUCCAAGGCCUUAGUAGCAUUUAAGUGGUGGCACAGAAUCGGAGGCCCCGACUGUUUACUUAAAACACAGCUUUCUGCGACGAAUAAUAUCUUUGUAUAGAAAGCGAAUUUUGCCCAAUGCCAUUAAUAUAAGGUCGAUAAGCGCUUAGCGUAAUUAUUGGCUGAAGUUCUGGUCAAUGGCGGUCUUAUCUAUGAGGAUCCUAAGGUAGCAAAAUUAAUUGUCCAUUAAAUGUGGUCCUGACUGAAUAAAGUAACGAUGGUCUCGCUGUCUCUACAAGUUCUC
rnacentral:rRNA from 1 species